AUUGAACGCUGGCGGCAUGCCUUACACAUGCAAGUCGAACGGCAGCGCGGGAGCAAUCCUGGCGGCGAGUGGCGAACGGGUGAGUAAUACAUCGGAACGUGCCCAAUCGUGGGGGAUAACGCAGCGAAAGCUGUGCUAAUACCGCAUACGAUCUACGGAUGAAAGCAGGGGAUCGCAAGACCUUGCGCGAAUGGAGCGGCCGAUGGCAGAUUAGGUAGUUGGUGAGGUAAAGGCUCACCAAGCCUUCGAUCUGUAGCUGGUCUGAGAGGACGACCAGCCACACUGGGACUGAGACACGGCCCAGACUCCUACGGGAGGCAGCAGUGGGGAAUUUUGGACAAUGGGCGAAAGCCUGAUCCAGCCAUGCCGCGUGCAGGAUGAAGGCCUUCGGGUUGUAAACUGCUUUUGUACGGAACGAAACGGCCUUUUCUAAUAAAGAGGGCUAAUGACGGUACCGUAAGAAUAAGCACCGGCUAACUACGUGCCAGCAGCCGCGGUAAUACGUAGGGUGCAAGCGUUAAU
rnacentral:rRNA from 1 species